rnacentral:rRNA from 1 species
UACCAGCACCCCGAGUGGUCGGGACGAUUAUUGGGCCUAAAGCAUCCGUAGCCGGUUCUACAAGUCUUCCGUUAAAUCCACCUGCUCAACAGAUGGGCUGCGGAGGAUACUAUAGAGCUAGGAGGCGGGAGAGGCAAGCGGUACUUAGUGGGUAAGGGUAAAAUCCGUUGAUCCAUUGAAGACCACCAGUGGCGAAGGCGGCUUGCCAGAACGCACUCGACGGUGAGGGAUGAAAGCUGGGGGAGCAAACCGG